AUUGAACGCUGGCGGUAUGCUUAACACAUGCAAGUCGAACGGUAACAGGCCUUCGGGCGCUGACGAGUGGCGGACGGGUGCGUAACGCGCUGGAAUCUGCCUGGUAGUGGGGGACAAAUUGGGGAAACUCAAGCUAAUACCGCAUACGCCCUACGGGCGAACGCGGGGGACCUUCGGGCCUCGCGCUAUCAGAUGAGCCUGCGGUGGAGUAGAUGGUUGGUAGGGUAAAGGCCUACCAAGGCGACGUUCCAGAGCUGGUCUGGGAGGACGAUCAGCCAAACUGGGACAGAGACACGGCCCAGACUCCUACGGGAGACAGCAGUGGGGAAUAUUGGACAAUGGGCGCAAGCCUGAUCCAGCAAUACCGCGUGUGUGAAGAAGGCCUGAGGGUUGUAAAUCACUUUUAAUCGGGAGAAAAACCUGUCGGCGAAUACCCGGCGGCUUGACAUUACCGAUAGAAAAAGCACCGGCUAACUCCGUGCCAGCCGCCGCAGUAAUAC
rnacentral:rRNA from 1 species